rnacentral:tRNA from 1 species
GGGGAUAUAGCUCAGCAGCACAGUGCCUGCCUGGCAAGCAUGAGAUCCCAAGUUCCAUAUCUGGUUAUUCCUG